UACGAAGGGGGCUAGCGUUGCUCGGAAUUACUGGGCGUAAAGGGCGCGUAGGCGGGUCGUUAAGUUGGGGGUGAAAGCCCAGGGCUCAACCCUGGAAUUGCCUUCAAUACUGGCGACCUUGAGUAUGGCAGAGGUGUGUGGAACUCCGAGUGUAGAGGUGAAAUUCGUAGAUAUUCGGAAGAACACCGACGGCGAAGGCAGCGCCCUGGACGAGAUCUGACGCUCAGGCACGAAAGCUGGGGGGAGCAAACAGG
rnacentral:rRNA from 1 species